GAUGAACGCUGGCGGCGUGCCUAAUACAUGCAAGUCGAGCGAACGGACGAGAAGCUUGCUUCUCUGAUGUAGCGGCGGACGGGGGAGUAACACGUGGAUAACCUACCUAUAAGACUGGGAUAACCUCGGGAAACCGGAGCUAAUACCGGAUGAUAUUUUGAACCGCAUGGUUCAAAAGUGAAAGACGGUCUUGCUGUUACUUAUAGAUGGAUCCGCGCUGCAUUAGCUAGUUGGUAAGGUAACGGCUUACCAAGGCAACGAUGCAUAGCCGACCUGAGAGGGUGAUCGGCCACACUGGAACUGAGACACGGUCCAGACUCCUACGGGAGGCAGCAGUAGGGAAUCUUCCGCAAUGGGCGAAAGCCUGACGGAGCAACGCCGCGUGAGUGAUGAAGGUCUUCGGAUCGUAAAACUCUGUUAUUAGGGAAGAACAUAUGUGUAAGUAACUGUGCACAUCUUGACGGUACCUAAUCAGAAAGCCACGGCUAACUACGUG
rnacentral:rRNA from 1 species